UGACGUAGGAGAAGGAAAAAAGGUCAAUCAUGAGAGAUGUUCUAGAUCGAAGCUUCAGCUGCAAUGCAUCAGAUAUCUUGGUCCAGCAAAAAGGAAGGCUUAUGAAGUUGUGGUUCAAGAUGGGAAACUUAUCUUCAACCAUAGUGGUGAAUUCCUUCACACAGUAGGAGGUAUCAAAAGUUCAUUCUCUUGGGUGAUUUUGUAGAUUUCCAUGCACCAAUGUAUAUCUUACAUGCCCACAUUGUGUGCUACAAAUAAUAAAAUAAUGUUAUGAACAAUGUUAAUGUUGUAGCUUCAUUGAUGGUAUGUACUUAAAAUGAUUUCAAGCAACUUCAUUGA